rnacentral:ribozyme from 1 species
UUUUUUUUUUUUUUUUUUUUUUUUUUUUUA